rnacentral:rRNA from 1 species
GAUCAUGGCUCAGGACGAACGCUGGCGGCGUGCUUAACACAUGCAAGUCGAACGAUGAAAGAGAAUCCGAUCUCUUCGGAGUGAAGAAUCUCUGGAUUAGUGGCGGACGGGUGAGUAACGCGUGAGCAAUCUGCCUUACACAAAGGGAUAGCCUCGGGAAACCGGGAUUAAUAUCAUAUGACAUCUAUUAACCGCAUGGUUUAUAGAUUAAAGAAUUUCGGUGUAAG